CCGCUGAAAGCAUCUAAGCGGGAAGCGAGCCCUGAGAUGAGUCUUCCCUGAUACUUUAAGUAUCCUAAAGGGUUGUCGGAGACUACGACGUUGAUAGGUCAGGUGUGUAAGUGCUGUGAGGCAUUGAGCUAACUGAUACUAAUUGCCCGUGAGGCUUAACCAUACAACACCCAAGGGGUUU
rnacentral:rRNA from 1 species